UUUUACCUUUGAUUAUGUGCUACUUCAUAAAACAAAAUUCCCUAAUUUGUUUCAUACACCGUUCUGUCUCCUCUUCUUCUUCAAUUACAAUGAUUGCCAGCCACUUCUUACUCUUUUCUCCCCGUCGUCCCAGUUGAACUUUUUCGAAGAUAAGUUACGGCGGUUUUCAGAGACAAGUUCUAGGACCUUCCACUCCUUCUUUUGUUCUACCAAAGGCACAAACAACAAAAUGGAGUAAAGAGAAAGAGCAGGAACAGGGAAAAAGUUACUUUUUUACACAUUAAACUCGGAGUUGCAAGAUGUUAGAGACAAGCAUAAGACCUUGAAGACGGUCUCUGCUCUUCUAGGGACUAUAUCAGAGAGUGCGGUUCCAGCAA